GAUGAACGCUGGCGGCGUGCCUAAUACAUGCAAGUCGAGCGAAUGGAUUAAGAGCUCGCUCUUAUGAAGUUAGCGGCGGACGGGUGAGUAACACGUGGGUAACCUGCCCAUAAGACUGGGAUAACUCCGGGAAACCGGGGCUAAUACCGGAUAACAUUUUGAACCGCAUGGUUCGAAAUUGAAAGGCGGCUUCGGCUGUCACUUAUGGAUGGACCCGCGUCGCAUUAGCUAGUUGGUGAGGUAACGGCUCACCAAGGCAACGCUGCGUAGCCGACCUUGGAGGGUGCGCGGCCACCCUGGGCAUGAGACACGGCCCAGACUCCUACCGGAGGCAGCAGUAGGGAAUCUUCCGCAAUGGACGAAAGUCUGACGGAGCAACGCCGCGUGAGUGAUGAAGGCUGUCGGGUCGUAAAACUCUGUUGUUAGGGAAGAACAAGUGCUAGUUGAAUAAGCUGGCACCUUGACGGUACCUAACCAGAAAGCCACGGCUAACUACGUGCCAGCCGCCGCGGUAA
rnacentral:rRNA from 1 species